GGCAAAGCCAGUCAAAACAACCCCAUUGUUCAGAAGCAGGUCCUGGAACUUGGGGCAUUGACAGUGCUAAUGAAGAUGAUGAAAUCUCACACCACGGAAGAAGCUGUAAAAGCAUUAUUUGCUAUUUCAGCACUAAUAAGAAAUAACAUGAAUGGCCGAAGUUUGUUUUAUCAGGAAGCUGGAGAUACGAUGCUUCAGGAGGUUCUUAGCAAUUCAAAUCUGGAUAUCAGGUUGCAUAAGAAGUCACUGUUUCUUAUUGCUGAUUUAGCCGAGAGUCAGCUGGAAAAUGAGAACACAGCUGAGGUUUCCU
rnacentral:misc_RNA from 1 species